rnacentral:rRNA from 1 species
AUGCAUCGGAGCUUUGCUGGCCUCAAAACCCAUCUCGACCUCCGCUUCCUCAAGGCCCGACGGAACUGCCGGCUGUUGUGGUGCACGAUGUGCGGGUCUGGCAUCUGCCUCAUUGCCUGCGCGACGGGAGCUGCAAUAGCUGGCCUCGUCAUCGCCACCCAUGCCAUGGCCGCAUUGUUGGCAGCGGCUCCUGCCUGUGCAGCGCCGCGUGUUUCCUGCUGCUCAACCCUCGCUUGGAUGAAACGCCUGCAGCAACACAUGGACCGGCUUGACGCCGCAGCCAGGGGCGCCGAUGUGCUCAACAAUGACAUGGACACCAUUGAACGGCUGGUGGAUAGGCUCCACGCCACUGUCAAGGGUGACAAGAUCUUGGUUAGGCUAAGGCUUGAGCGCGGGAGGGGGCAACACCACACCAUCGAAGAGGUGGUGCGGCAGCUCCGAAAGAACCAUCCUAGCCUACUAUGCCAGCUCGCCGACCUCGAGGAGCACAUCUGUCUCUACUUUGCAGCCGUUAACCGUGCAAGGCUAUUCCUUGUACACCACCUCAAUGCCCAGUCUGAUCCCAACGCCGAGUUGCCUCUCUAG